GCUUUCCAAGCGCAAUUGGUUCGAGUUUUGGACUUUUAAUCCAAGGGUUUGGGGUUCGAGUCCCCGGGGAAGCG
rfam:Trichomonas vaginalis G3, whole genome shotgun sequence.